rnacentral:rRNA from 1 species
GACGACGCUGCGGCGCGCUAACACAUGCAAGUCGAGCGAGAACGGUCCUUACGGCCGGGGAAAGACGGGCGAACGGGUGGAGUAACACGUAGAGUAAGUACUGGCCCUCCGGGCACCGGGACGUAGCCGGGGAAACCCGGGACGUUAAUACCGGAUGGCCAUCAGCCUCGGGCGAAUGGAAAAGGUAGCUUCGGCCUCCGGCCGAGGAGGAGGCUCGCGGCGGAUUAGCUUGUUGGCGGGGUAACGGCCCACCAAGGCGACGAUCCGUAGCUGGUCUGAGAGGACGAUCAGCCACACUGGGACUGAGACACGGCCCAGACUCCUACGGGAGGCAGCAGUGGGGAAUCUUGCGCAAUGGGCGAAAGCCUGACGCAGCGACGCCGCGUGCGGGAAGAAGGCCUUCGGGUUGUAAACCGCUUUCAGGAGGGACGAAGCUACUCGGGUGAAUAGCCCAGAGGGUGACGGUACCUCCAGAAGAAGCCCCGGCUAACUACGUG